rnacentral:rRNA from 1 species
ACACUGGAACUGAGACACGGUCCAGACUCCUACGGGAGGCAGCAGUGAGGAAUCUUCCACAAUGGGCGAAAGCCUGAUGGAGCAACGCCGCGUGCAGGAUGAAGGCCUUCGGGUUGUAAACUGCUUUUAUUAGUGAGGAAUAUGACGGUAACUAAUGAAUAAGGAUCGGCUAACUACGUGCCAGCAGCCGCGGUCAUACGUAGGAUCCGAGCGUUAUCCGGAGUGACUGGGCGUAAAGAGUUGCGUAGGUGGUUAGUAAAGCGAAUAGUGAAAUCUGGGGGCUCAACCUCACAGGCUAUUAUUCGAACUCACUAACUCGAGAGUGGUAGAGGUAACUGGAAUUUCUAGUGUAGGAGUGAAAUCCGUAGAUAUUAGAAGGAACACCAAUGGCGUAGGCAGGUUACUGGACCAUUUCUGACACUGAGGCACGAAAGCGUGGGGAGCGAACCGGAUUAGAUACCCGGGUAGUCCACGCCGUAAACGAUGGAUACUAGCUGUUGGAGGUAUCGACCCCUCCAGUAGCGAAGCUAACGCGUUAAGUAUCCCGCCUGGGGAGUACGGCCGCAAGGCUAAAACAUAAAGGAAUUGACGGGGACCCGCACAAGCGGUGGAUCGUGUUCUUUAAUUCGAUGCUAAACGAAGAACCUUACCAGGGCUUGACAUCCAGGGAAUUUUUGGGAAACCAAUUAGUGCCUUUUGGAACCCUGUGACAGGUGAUGCAUGGCCGUCGUCAGCUCGUGUCGUGAGAUGUUUGGUUAAGUCCAUCAACG